GGGAUUGCCUCAGUAACGGCGAGUGAAGCGGCAACGGCUCAAAUUUGAAAUCUGGCCCCAUCGGGGUCCGAGUUGUAAUUUGUAGAGAGUGCUUCGGGCGAGGCCUCGGUCUAAGUCCAUUGGAACAUGGUGUCAUAGAGGGUGAGAAUCCCGUAUGCGACCGUGGCUCGAGCCCAUGUGAAGCCUCUUCGACGAGUCGAGUUGUUUGGGAAUGCAGCUCAAAAUGGGUGGUAAAUUUCAUCUAAAGCUAAAUACUGGCUGGAGACCGAUAGCGCACAAGUAGAGUGAUCGAAAGAUGAAAAGCACUUUGGAAAGAGAGUCAAACAGUACGUGAAAUUGUUGAAAGGGAAGCGCUUGCAACCAGACCUGCCCGUAGGCGAUCAGCCGCUGUUCUCAGCGGUGCACUCGCUCUGCGAUCAGGCCAGCAUCGGUUUCGGCGGUCGGAUAAAGGCCUUGGGAAUGUAGCUUCUCUUCGGGGGAGUCUUAUAGCCCUCGGUGUAAUGCGGCCAGCCGGGACCGAGGACCGCGCUUCGGCUAGGAUGCUGGCGUAAUGGUUGUAAGCGACCCGUCUUGAAACACGGACCAAGGAGUCUAACAUCUAUGCGAGUGUUUGGGUGUCAAACCCAUGCGCGGAAUGAAAGUGAACGGAGGUGAGAACCCUUUAGGGCGCAUCAUCGACCGAUCCAGAUGUCUUCGGAUGGAUUUGAGUAUGAGCAUAGCUGUUGGGACCCGAAAGAUGGUGAACUAUGCCUGAAUAGGGUGAAGCCAGAGGAAACUCUGGUGGAGGCUCGCAGCGGUUCUGACGUGCAAAUCGAUCGUCAAAUUUGGGUAUAGGGGCGAAAGACUAAUCG
rnacentral:rRNA from 1 species